UAUAUAUAUAUAUAUAUAUAUAUGAAUAAAUGAAAGAAUGGAGUCGAACGAAUAUUUUAACAAAAUCCUUUACUCUCGACACAUGUUUCGAAGACUGCAUACUCUUAAUUCUGAAGGAAUAAAAGGUGCAUUAUGCAGUCUUCUCCUCAGGAAAGACAAGGAACCUCUAUCAGUCUCAAGAUGAACAAAAACUUUUUGAUGACUGCCUACAUUGUGUCCACAGUGAUAAUGAUUGUUUUUUUAAAAAUAAUCCGUUAUAAGCAAUGACGUCAAAAUUGAUUGGAAGGAGGAAGUACUAAAAAGGAAUUUUGUUAAAAUAUUCGUUCGACUCCAUUCUUUCAUUUAUUCAUAUUUAAAAAAACACACAAAUUUACACACAAGAACACGGUGUUCCUACCCUUGAUAUGUAGCUUCAACCGUGUUUUCUGACGUGAAUUUGCUACCCAGGUAUCGGUUAACCAAAUUUUCCAUAUUAGGAUAAUUCAUUCACCUACUUAAAUAUAUAUAUAUAUAUAUAUAUAUAUAUAUAUAUAUAUGCAUAUAUACGACGAGCUUCUUUUAGCUUCUGUCUACCAAAUCCACUCACAAGGCUUUGGUUGGCCUGAGACUAUAGUAGAAGACACUUGCCCAAGGUGCCAGACUGAACCCGGAACUAUGUGGUUGGCAACAUUGCUGGAAUAGGCAAUGUUUAUUAGUACAUAUACAUUUACAAACUUGGCUGUGUGGUUAAGAGGUUUGCUUCUCAACCAAAUGGUUUUGUGUUCAAUCCUACUCUGUGGCGCCUUAGGCAACAUAUAUAUUAUAGUAUGUAUAUCUUUAGAGAUACAGCUAAGGUCUUAGCAAAUUAAAAAAAUUACUCAAAAUGUAAACAGAAAAGCAUAACAACAACAAUAACAAUAAUAAUAAUGAUGGAAUACUCCUUCUACUUGAUGAGUGAUAAGUACCAGUUACAAAACUGUGACAGAGGAAGUUGCGUCAUUGAAAAGUCAAAGAAAUCAGUCAUAGGUAGUUGUGUCUUUACUUGUCUAACAAAGCCUUGUGAGUGGAUUUUGCAUAUAGAAACUGAAGAAAGCCUAUCAUAUAUCAUCAUCAUCAUCGUUUAACAUCCGUUUUCCAUGCUAGCAUGGGUUUGACGGUUCGACCGGGGUCUGGGAUGACAGGAGGCUGCACCAGGCUCUGAUCUGGCAGUGUUUCUACAGCUGGAUGCCUUUCAUAAUGCCAACCACUCCGUGAGUGUAGUGGUUGCUUUUCAUGUGCCACCGGCACAGGUGCCAGGGGAGGCUGGCAAAUGGCCAUGAUCGGUUGGCGCUUUUUACAUGAUGUAUGUAUGCAUCUAUGUAACCGUGUGUAUGUAUUCAUAUAUGCAUGUGUAUGUGCACCAGUGUGCAUAUAUAUAUGCACGCAUGCUUCACAUGAUAGUUGCAAAUGAGUGCUACCAUCAAACAAACACUAUCAUUCAUUUCCAAUUUUCAAUGAAAACUUCGAUGAUGGGAAUUUCACAAAGAGAUUACACUGAAAAUGAAAAGAUCAGGGACAGAACUGGAGUGAAGGGCUUUGUUGCAGAAUACCUAUUUCUUUACUACCCACAAGGGGUUAAACACAGAGAGAACAAACAAUGACAGACAAACAGAUUAAGUCGAUUAUAUUGACCCCUGUACAUAACUAGUACCUAUUUAAUUGACCCUGAAAGGAUGAAAGGCAAAGUCGACCUCGGCGGAAUUUGAACUCAAAACGCCAAAUACCACCACACAAAGCUAGAACAGGCCAAUCAUGUCACAAGGUUCACAAAUUUAAUAGUGAUAGAAAAUGUUGGUAGAUACUAAAACUUGAAAAAGAAUUAAGUUUUUUUUUUUUUUUUUUAUAUUCAUAACUAAAUUUUUGCCAGUCAAAAGCUACUGAUGUGUAUAUUGAUAAAUAAAUAGUUCAACAGAAUGUCAGAGUAUUGUAAUUCAUUUUAUUCUGAUGAAGACUGAAGUCAAAUGUACAGCUUUUGACUGUUUUUCCUUUGCUAAUUCUUGAAUACGCAAAGGCAUCUUUAAGAAGGCACAUCAUCGUUUAACAUCUGCUUUCCAUGCUAGCAUGGGUUGGACGAUUUUGACUGAGGACUGGUAAACCAGAUGGCUGCACCAGGCUCCAAUCUUGAUCUGGCAGAGUUUCUACAGCUUGAUGCCCUUCCGAAUGCCAACCACUCUGAGAGUGUAGUGGGUGCUUUUUAUGGGCCACCAGCAUGGGGGCCUGUCAGGCAGUACUGGCAAUGACCUCGCGCAAAUCUUUUCACAGAUACCACCAGCACAGGUGCCAGUAAGGCGACGCUGGUAACGAUCAUGCUUGAAUGGUGCCCUUUUAUGUGCCACCGGCACGGAAGCCAAUUAGCUGCUCUGGCAACGAUCAUGCUCGGAUGGUGCUCUUGGCACCCUACUAGCACAGGCACAAGUGCCAGUAAGGCACAAUACCCAUCAUUUUCCACUUCUAAUCUACUUCUUUGACAGAGAACCAAGAUAUGAGGCAAGUUAAUGUACUCAAGAAGACCCACCCACCCACCACUACAGAAUCGAGAUCCUAAAGCACUUGUGUGGGUGUAAAAAGUACUGGUGAUGGUGCCAUGUAAAAAGCACCUAGUACACUCGGUAAAAUGGUUGGCAUUAAGAAGUGCAUCCAGCUAUAGAAACCAAGCCAAACCAGACUAUGAAACCUGGUAUGGUCCUUGGCCUUGCCAGUUCCUGCCAAAGCCUUCCAACACAUGCCAGCAUGGAAAAACGGAUGUUAAAUGUUGUUGAUGAUGAUGAUGAUGAUGUUUAAAAGCCAGACUUGCAACGAUAUGUCGAUGCAUAUAGAAUCUAUGCUUGUAUAACACUUGCUUACUUUUUUUUUUUUUGGUUAGGAAUUACACAUGAAAGGCUAAAAUUUCAACUUCAGAUGCAUCUUGACAAUCAUCAAGAACGUUUUGGAUGGAUAAUUCACAGUGGAACUCUGUCAGGGACCAAAUAAUUGUUCGUGUGGUGAAAAUCUUGCUGUCAAAUGAUAAAUGUUUAAGUACAGUUAAAAUUUUUGAAUGCUUUUGAGCGGCCAAUACGUGCCUUCCAUGAUGUAAACGUUUAGUUUCAACUCAAUUUCUCAGAUCAAAUCACUUGUCAGAAAAGUACGUUUCUGAUAUUUAGAUGAAUUUCUCAGUAAAUUCAAUACACCAUCAUUGAAUUCAACAGAUAGCCAUCAUCUUUUAAUGUUCACUUUUCCAUUCUUGCAUAGUUUAUUUGACAGUUUAUUUAAGGCAGAUUUUUCUGUAGCUAGAGGCUCUUCCUGUCACCAGUCCUUACUUGUUUCUGUUAUGGGCAUAAUAAUAAUAAUAAUAAUAAUAAUAAUAAUAAUAAUAAUAAUAAUAUAAUAAUAAUAAUAAUAAUAAUAAUAAUAAUAAUAAUAUAAUAAUAAUAAUAAUAAUAAUAAUAAUAAUAAUAAUAAUAAUGAUGAUAAUAAUAAUAAUAAUAAUAAUAAUAAUAAUGAUAAUAAUAAUAUAAUAAUAAUAAUAAUAAUAAUAAUAAUAAUAAUAAUAAUAAUAAUAAUAAUAAUAAUAAUAAUAAUAAUAAUAAUAAUAAUAAUAAUAAUGAUAAUAACAACAGCAACGACAGAGUGGAGGAUCGCGGUUUCGAUUCCCAGACCGGGAGUUGUGUGUGUUUAUUGAGCGAAAACACCUAAAGCUCCACGAGGCUCCGGCAGGGGGUGGUGGCGACCCCUAGUGUACUCUUUCACUCCAAACUUUCUCUCACUCUUUCUUCCUGUUUCUUGUCCCCGACUUCCUAUGCAACUGCUGAGCCUGGAUGAACAUUCAUCCAUCCGUCGAUGCUCUCGGUGUCGGGGGUUGAUCUGAUUUCUCUUCUGCGGGUCUUAUGAAUAGCAAAGGACCAUGUUUCAGACUUCUCCCACCAACAAACAAACAAACAAACAAACAAGCAGCAGCAGCAGCAACAACAACAACAACAAUAAUAAUGGAACACUCCUUCCACUUAAUGAGUGGUAUGUGCCAGUUCUUCUUGUCUUGUCUUGAGACAGCAUUCAACCGGUGUGGGUUGAGCUGGCUUCAUUCAUCCUCAAUGCUGCAUCUCUCACAAACGCCAACCAGAUCUGGCGAUUUGAGGCUAAUGACCACGUGAUCUCCAACCACUCCUUAUUCCAGCGGCGAACGCCGUAGACAUGGGGGCCUAGGUUGGGUUCCAGAUCAGCCUUGACAGUCAUCAGCCAGGUUUUUCGUUGUCCACCACAUCACUUUCACCAACCCUGAAAGGGAUCUGGGGCAAUUGCUUCAUAGAUGAAUUAAGCGACUAUGUGCUAGUUACAAAACUGUGAUGUAGGAAGUUGAGUUGUUGAGAAAUCAGCAAAAUCAGUCGUGGCUGUAUGGUAAGUAGCUUGUUUACCAGCCACAUGGUUCCGGGUUCAGUCCCACUGUGUGGCACCUUGGGCAAGUGUCUUCUACUAUUGUCUCGGGCCGACCAAAGCCUUGUGAGUGGAUUUGGUAGAAACUGAAAGAAACCCGUCGUAUAUAUGUAUAUAUAUAUAUGCGUGUGUGUGUUUGUGCGUCUGUGUUUGUCCCCCUAGCAUUGCUUGACAACCGAUGCUGGUGUGUUUAUGUCCCCGUUACUUAGCGGUUCGGCAAAAGAGACCGAUAGAAUAAGUACUGGGCUUACAAAAGUAUAAGUCCUGGGGUCGAGUUGCUCGAUUAAAGGUGGUGCUCCAGCAUGGCUGCAGUCAAAUGACUGAAACAAGUAAAAGAGUAAAAGAGUAGAUAGUUGUGUCUUUACUUGUCUGACUAACUACACUGCUAUACCGAAAUGGACAUUAUAACAGUCUGAUGUUGGAUUAUAACAGUUUCCAAGCAAGAUAAUAAUUCCCCAAGGCCAGACAAGUUCUUGCAGAAUUUAGGAAAUCAAUGACACUGCUUGUAAGACAGUGACACUCAUUUACAACUCUAUCAUAUUAUGUCAAAACAAGGAGAUAAACACACACACACACACACACACACACACACACACAAUAUUAGCCGAAUUAAUUUUUUUUAAGGCUAUGAAAUGCUGCAAAUUUUUUUUCUCUUUUGUAAAUUUUGGAAAUGCUCGGUCUCAACAGCUUGCAACAAGUAUUGAUGGCAUUCUCAAACACUGAAAUGUUCUUGAAACUGGCUUUUCCAUUCCAAUAUUCUAGUUUACUCAUGAAAGCUUUCAAAAAAUUAUUGAAUUUUAUAAUAUUUAUAUUCGUUCCUUCAUCUGCAGAUUGAGUUUCUUCAACUGCUGGAAAUAUCAAUCAAUCAGGCAAGGAGCAUGAUCCAUUAUUUUGUCAUUCAGCCAAGCAAAAAAUUUCAUCUUCUUCCAAAUUUAAAGAAAUAAGUCAGGCUCACCUUUGCGCUCAAAUAUUUCUUUUGUUCUCAAUCAUUAGACUGUGGCCAUGCAGGGGGUACCACCUUGAUGGUUUUUAGUUAAAUGAAUUGACCCAGCACUUUAAUUUUUAAAGUUUGGUACUUAUUUAAUCAGUCUCUUUUGCCAAAUCUCUAAUCUAUGGGGAUGAUAACAAACCAACAUCGAUUGUCAAGUGACACAGACAUUCUCAGAAAUGUGCACACACCACACACACACACACACACACACUGAUAACUAUAGUAGAAAACACUUGCCCAAGAUUCACACAAAUAAAACUGAAUCCAAAAGCCAUAUGAUUGCAAAGCAAGCUUCUUAAACAUAUCAUCAUCAUCAUUGUUCGACCGUGGUUGAGACAAUGGAAUUUACCAUGCUACGCCAGACUUCACAGUCCAUCAUAGCAUUACAGAGGUCCUGUUGCUGGAUGCCUAUAACCCUGAAGAUUACAUCAGGGUAGGAGAGUGUGCGCCCUCUGGUGUUGCGAGUAGAUGGCUUCCAGAGGAGGAGAGUAGAAAUUACCUCUUUUUGAGCUCUACAACAAUGUCCAGCAAAGUGGACUCUCCUACCUUUCACAAGAGAUGACACAGGUGGUAGUUUCCCAUAUAUUUGCAUUUUGGUUGGAUGGCGCUUCCACGAGAGAUUUUGAGCUCUCAUAAGGAGGCGAGUGUAGGUUCUUAAACAUAUGGACAUGCCAAUGCCGUGUUCAUUAAGGUUUCUAUCUGAAAUCCAUGGAACAUUUGUGUGAGAGUGACUGGCAUCCAUGUCACUGCUUGAAAAAUCUUGAUUUUAAUGUUUCUCCUUUGACAAAAUUUGCAAUUGGAAUUGUUUGAUAAAAACCCUUCCUUGGAAGUAUUUUGGAAGCCAGUGACUCUUGGUGGAUCAUAUAAUGAUUGUAGUUCAGUUCUUAAGCUUGCCUUUCCAUGCACUUGAAAUUUGGAUUUUGUUCCCAACAUAGGUGGUACUCUAUCUGAACAGCAUCCACAGAAAUUACUGAAGCUGCUUAUGUUAUAGCACCAAGUGUAGUGAAGCGGAAGGGAAAAAAAAAGCACAUACAAUCAGGGAAAUUUUGAUCAAACUUUGUGCUCUCAAAAUUGAUGGGAAAUGGUUUUGGAGGUAAAACUUGCAAUGGGUUUUUUUUAUCAAAAGACGCUUUUCAAAGGAUAAUCAAUGACAUACCCCUUGACACCAUGAAUCAGUUUGUACAGGCAAUCUAGCCUGCAGCACUUCAUUUGUUUUCAGUUUGGCUUCAGGAAUCUAUAAUUUAGCAUCUUCUUUCCGGUUGCUGGAGUUUGCAAGGUUAAUUUAAAGAGGAUCUUCUCUUUCAUUCUCAUCUUGAAACAACCAUCAACUAUCUUAGAUAUUUUAGAAAAAAAUUUCACCUUUCAUAAAGCCAUAAAAUCGAAGGAUCUUAACUCUAAAACUCAAACAUUUAAUUACAAAUCUCACUAAACUGGUUUAUAAGGGAAAGUAGUAGACCCAAAGCAAAUAUAGAGCUCUGACGAAAUCAAACACUGAAAGCAUAUUCACAAGAUGGUAAUGUGCAUACCUAAAUACUAGCAGUAUCGUCCGGCAUUGCUCAGGUUUGUUGUGACCCUUUAGAAUUGGAAUUUUUGAAAAGUAAAAAUUUUGCAUUAUGUAGCUUGUUAUUCUCAUUAAGUCAACAUUUUUCUGGUUGAAAUGCACCGAAAAAUGGAGACACAGCAGUCAAAAAAUCGUAAAAAAUAAGGACUUUCAUAAAAAGCACCUUUUUGAUGUAAAUAAUUUUUGGUGUUAACAUGGUCCGAUUUGAAUUUUAUCUUCUACGGAAUGAAGAGCAAGCCUUCUUCUAUCAUACUCUCAACUUUGGUCAACUUGCGCCACAGGGUCUCGGAGGAGAUAGUGUUAGUUGAAGGCUACCAAACCUGCCACACACAGACAACUUCAGCUUUAUAUACUCUUUACUCUUUUACUCUUUUACUUGUUUCAGUCAUUUGACUGAGGCCAUGCUGGAGCACCACCUUUAGUCGAGCAAAUCGACCCGGGACUUAUUCUUUGUAAGCCCAGUACUUAUUCUAUCGGUCUCUUUUGCCGAACCGCUAAGUGACAGGGACAUGAACACACCGGUAUCGGUUGUCAAGCAAUGCUAGGGGGACUAACACAGACACACAAACAUAUACACACACUUAUAUAUAUAUAUAUAUAUACAUAUAUAUACAACAGGCUUCUUUCAGUUUCCGUCUACCAAAUCCACUCCAAGGCAUUGGUCGGCCCGGGGCUAUAGCAGAAGACACUUGCCCAAGAUGCCACGCAGUGGGACUGAACCCGGAACCAUGUGGUUGGUUAGCAAGCUACUUACCACACAGCCACUCCUAUAUAUAGAUAAGCCUGGUGUUCUUCCAGGAUUCUAUUAAUACAACACACAGCUUCGGCUUCCACAUCUUCUUCCUUAGUAUGAAGCAAUGGUUCUUUUAUUUGUGUUAUCUUUCCAGAGAUGAAUGAGCUUUGGUCGUACAUUACCAAGUUUUUUGUAACCGUAUCAACUUGUAUCUCAUGAAUUGACGUUAGUACUUGUCACGAGAUUUCAUUUAUUUCAUUUAGUUACCAAGUAAGCUUGGUAGGGUUUUUUUUUUUUUUUAACCACCUCCAAGACAGCUGCUGUUAUAAUGCAUCCUUUAACAUCAACUAUAAGACUUCUUUUAUACCAGAAACUAAGUAUUUGCUUUCUAACACCUAAAAGCUAUAGACUGAACUCUGCGUAAAAUAAAUUUCCUUCGGUGUAAAAAUAAAUAAAUAAAUAAAUAAAUAAAUAAAUAAAUAAAUACUUGUAUUACAUCAUGUGAGGUGAGGUGAAAAAGUAAAAGGUUAUAUGAUAAAGUCCAAAUGGUUUGUUUGUUAUUAAAUGUAUUUUAUAUUGAAGUUUAAAACACAAUGCAGCAUAUUGACAGAUUUUUACCAAAUAGAAGAUUUAUUGAAUUCCGUGAACAGAAAAUAUUGUUUUGUAGUAGUAAUACAACAAUGUUAAAGAUGUCAAAUACAUAAGAGAAAAUACUUGGAAACAAGUCCCCACCACCACACACACACACACACUCACACACAUACACACACGAACGCACUGCUCCCUCAGUGAUCUCCGUUUCUUUGCUAAACCAUACACAUAAUACACAACUCAUACGUUCACAUGCAAAGACUCACACACAUACAUUUAUGAAUUGUUUUUGGUUUUUUUUUUUUCAAAUAUUGCUUUAUCAAAUCAAAAUUACAUUUGAAUCAAUUGACGAAUACACAAUUGCAUUUAAUUACGAUAUCACAUUAAUUUAUUAAUGAAUUUAUUAUGAAUGAAAUUGAACAUUCUAUGGGUGUCUGGGUUAAUUUUUUCACAAAAAUUAAGUGAAUCUAAAAUAUUAAAUAAUAUAAUAUUAUUGGUACGCAGUAAAUACCAAUAUUACUGCUGCCAUUGAGGUGGUGAGCUGGCAGAAACGUUUAGCAGCAUUUUGCCUGUCUUUACAUUUCUGAGUUCAAAUCCCACCAAAGCUGACUUGGCUUUUCAUCCUUUCAGAGUCAGUAAAAUAAGUACCAGUUGAACACUAAGGUUGAUGUAUUUGAUUUAUCCCCUCCCCUGAAAUUGCUGGCUUUGGGCCAAAAUUUGAAAUCAAUAUUAUUAUUAUUAUUCUGUAGUUUUAUUUUUAUAGCGUGCUUUCACUUCACUACCGAGUGCAGCUCUGUGUGCCUUGGGUAUGUGCUAUGAUUUGUUGUGAUGCUCUGAUGGUUAUUGUAUGGAAAGUGUUCUGCGUAGGAUGUGUGCAGUGCCUAGUAGUGCAAUUUUCUGUAUGUUAUAUGUGUUUGUAAGUCCUGGUGUUUUUGUUAUGUAUUUGUCUGAAUAUUUUUUUAUCAUGCUUAAUGCACCUACUAUGAUAGGAAUUGUUUCUGUUUUCAGAUUCCACAUUCUAGUUACCUCUAUUUCCAGGUCUUUGUAUUUUGAGAGUUUCUCCAUUUCUUUUAGAGACACGUUGUCAUCAGCCGGUAUUGAUACAUCAAUUAGAAAGCAUUUUUUUCUUCAUGAUCUCUGACAACUAUAUCUGGUCUGUUGGCCUUAAUUUCUCUAUCUGUGUGUAUCGGCAUAUCCCAGAGUAUGGUUGCUUUCUCGUUUUCUGUGACCUUUUCUGGUGUGUGCCUAUACCAUCUUUUUUCUGUUGUUAUUCCAUAAUGUUGGCAUAGCUUCCUGUGUAUGUAAGUUCCAACUCUGUCAUGUCUGUGAAUAUAUUCCUUCUUAGCCAGGACUGGGCAGCUAGAGAUAAUAUGAUUUAUUGUUUCUUGUCCAUCUCCACAUAUUCUGCAGUUACUUGUAAUAUUUCUUUUCAUUACAUGUUUUUGGUAAUUUCUGGUGGGGAGGCUUUGGUCUUGUGCUGCAAUUAAAAAUCCCUCUGUUUCUGCUUUGCGUCCUGAGCUUCUCAACCAUUGCUGGGAUUUUUCUUUGUCUAUUUCUUUUGCGUUUAGUUUAGUCCAGUAUUUACCAUGAAGGGGCUUUUCUUGCCAUCGUUUUAUCAUGGUUCGUUGCUCUUCUAUUUUUAGUUUGGAUUUCAUUUGUUUUAUAGCUUUUAUUGUUUCUUCAUCUUCUUCAGUAUCAUUAUUAUUAUUAUUAUUAUUAUUAUUAUUAUUAUUAUUAUUAUUAUCAGUAUUAUUAUUAUUAUUAUUAUUAAUAUCAGUAUUAUUAUUAUUAUUAUUAUUAUUAUUAUUAUUAUUAUUAUAUGUUUGACUUUUGCCUUGCAUUUGUACACGCUGACUUAUUAUUAUUAUUCAGUAGUUUUAUUUUCAUCAGGUGUUUUCACUGCACUACUGAGAGCAGCUCUGUGUGCCUUGGGUAUGUGCUGUGGUUUGUUGUGGUGCUCUUAUUUUUACUGUAUUGAAAGUGUUUUAGGUGUGCUAUUUUCUGUAUGUUAUAUAAACUUGUAAUAGUCCAUGAGCCACAUCAGCUAGUGGGACCAUCCAGUGUGAAUACACCUAAGGGGUAUUAAAAUGUUUAAAAGGGUCACUAUGAGUGUAAAAAAAUGUGAUAGCCCUUUCAGCUCAGUAGCUUUGUUCUUUUUUUGCAGAUUUAUGAAAUUUCAGCAGUACUCAUACUGAAGUACUUCUGCACAUGAUGACUACACCACAUAGGACAUCGUUCACACAUCUAGCAGAAAUUCGAUUGACCAGAAAAAGCUCCUCGUAUACUCAGACAUGGAUCAUCAUCAUCGUCAUCGUCAUUAUCGUUUAACGUCCGUUUCCCGUGCUAGCACAGGUUGGAUGGUUCGACCAGGGAUCUGGGAAGCCAGGAGGCUGCACCAGGCUCCAGUCUGAUCUGGCAGUGUUUCUACAGCUGGAUGCCCUUCCUAACGCCUACCACUCUGUGAGUGUAGUGGGUGAUUUUUACGUGCCACCGGCACAGGUGCCAGGGGAGCCUGGCAGCGGCAACAAUCAGUUGGUGCUUUUUACAUGCCACCGGCAUGGAAGUUGAUCUUGUCAAAAAACACCACAGACUGGAUCUGGAGCUGCGAGAAUCAAGGACAAUUCUGUCUGAGGAUUCUCUAGCCAAAGAAGCAGUGCAGCUAUGACAGAAGAUUAAAAAAAAACAAAAUCUCAGUCAAACAUGGCCACUAAGCACUGAGCAAAAUGUCAUUCCUGACAUUGUUACCAAAUUUCUCUCUUCCUUGCUGACUUGGGAAAAUGAGUGUACAAAUCCCUCAGAAAGGGUCAAGUGUCUUGCUACUUCUUUUGGAAGUGACCUGGAGUUUGCUGUUACCUUUGGCAAAACGAAGCUGAGGAUACUGAUGUUCUGAUUUUGUGCCUGGGAUUCCGUAGCAAAAUCUCAUGCUCUUUGAAUUAGAAGUGUGGUACAAAGAACAGAACAUACAUCUUUGACAUUACAAAAAUGAGUCAUGCACUGGCAGGUGGCAUCUCUGAUGCUUUGAUUGGCAUGCAUGCCUCCACAGGCUGUGAUACAGUCAGGGCCUUUGCUUGCCGUAGAAAGCUGACAACGAAAUAACGAACAGAGAAAUAACAUAACUGCAGUUGGAAAAUGUUUUUAUAUUGUAUUUCCACUCUUUCACCCAAUAAGUCAUCUGCAUAGUGGAGUUGCAAUGGAUAACCAGUCUUAAACUCCAAUCUUUCUUGGCAUCUCACUUAGCUUUUAAGUCUCUCUCUAGUGUAUCUUCCACCUGGUUGGAACCUUGAACCAUUUACAGAUUUGGCCUGUGUCUCUCAGAGAGUUGUCUUGGAGAAACUCUGUUAUUUUCUUGUCAUUGAACCUACAUCUUGGCAAGAGAUCGUUCAGCUUUCAAAUCCAACAAGAUCUUCCAAGAAGCCUUCAGUGAACUGGGGCAGUCUUGGGAUGUAUCUCCUGGACUAUUUCAAAAGCUACAGAUGAUAACUUGCCUAAUGUCCAUGCCUCCCACUUCAACAACUGAAGUAAAUAAAUUUCGAUACUAGCUCUUUUUCACCAGAUGUGGAGAAAUUGAGUUGAGUCAACUACCUCCAUGUGAGGACUGUCUGUUUAUGCAUGCUCUUCGUGCAAACUACUAAGCAGCCACCUGGAGAAGAUGUCUACAAGCCCAACCAUUUGUCCUGAGCCCCAUCAACUGUGAUUGGACACUAGACGAGGAGAGUGAACUCCUCAUUGCUUGGAUGCACAGCUUAACUACACUAGAUGCUGUUCUUCAGCUUUUGUCCUGCAAAUGUGUCUGUUCCUACAAACUACCAGCAUGCUGCUGCCUCAGCAAUGGCUUGAGGUGCACAGACAUGUUCAAGACAUAUAAUGCAUAUGAAAUAUGAAAUUCAGUUUUAUAUUAAGUAUAAACAGAUGUUGAUUAAAUUCUGAUCUGUGGAUCAUUUCUUUGCCCUUGCAACAGUCAAAAUAAAAGAUGUCCGUGAAAUUUUUGGUUGCAGUUUCUUAUAGAGGGUAUGUCUAUUUAUGCCGGUGGCACGUAAAAAGCACCAUCCGAUCGUGGCCAUUGCCAGCCUCGCCUGGCCCCCGUGCCGGUAGCACGUAAAAAGCAUCAUCCGUCCGUGGUCGUUUUCUAGCUCCGUCUGGCACCUGUGUGGGUGGCACGUAAAAAGCACCCACUACACUCACGGAGUGGUUGGCAUUAGGAAGGGCAUCCAGUCGUAGAAACACUGCCAGAUCAGACUGGAGCAUGGUGCAGCCUCCAUGGCUUACCAGACCCCAGUUGAAACGUCCAACCAAUGCUAGCAUGGAAAGCGGAUGCUAAAUGAUGAUGAUGAUGAUGAUGAUAAUUACUACUAAGCUGCCAUUCUGACAAGGCUAUCAUAUAUAAAUAGAAACUAGAGACAUAUAGAGACAUACAGUACCAAUACAGAAAUUUUGGGUCUGGGUUCAAGGACUAUAAGUCCUUAUGUUUUUGUUAUGUAUUUGUCUGAAUGUUUUGUUUUUUUUUAUCAUACCUAAUAUGCCAACUAAAAUAGGAAUCAUUUCUGUUUUUAGUCUCCACAUUUGAAAUACCUCUAUUUCCAGAUCUUUGUAUUUUGAAAUUAUAAUUAUUAUUAUUAUUAUUUCUUCUUCUUUCUUCAAAUUUUCUUCCGUUUCUCACCAAGUGUUUUCCGUACACCUAGGGCAGAGAAGCUCAUUGAAUGCAUUCCCAGAUUACAUGUGCAAAUUCACAGAUAAAAUAUGUAUUUAAAAAUUAAUAAAUAAAUAAAUCCAUGAAUGGAUGUUGCUUUCACAGUGAUAAUGCUCUUCUCAGUACAUGAGCCGUUCCAGUUAAUACGAUUUUUUGCACUUCCUGUAGGGAUGGUAAGCCUGGAAUAAUUUUCAAAUAGGUUUCAGUACCUUUUUUUAUCAUUCCUAGAGAUUCUACAAUCACUGGUACUGUAGUCGCCUUGAGAUGCCACAUUUUUUUCAAUUUCUAUUAGCAAGUCUUUAUAUUUACUGAUCUUGUCAAAUUCUUUCGCCGCUAUAUUGUGAUUGUAACGAAUACUCAUGUUAAUUCAUAAACACACCCUGUAUUAUUAUUAUUAUUAUUAUUAUUAUUAUUAUUAUUAUUAUUAUUAUUAUUAUUCAGUAGUAUGUUUUUUAUAGCGUGCUUUCACUUCACUACCGAGCGCAGCUCUGUGUGCCUUGGGUAUGUGCUUUGUUUUGUUGUGAUGCUCUGAUGGUUAUUGUAUGGAAAGUGUUCUGCAUAGGAUGUGUGCAGUGCCUAGUAGUGCAAUUUUCUGUAUGUCAUACGUGUUUGUAAGUCCUGGUGUUUUUGUUAUGUUUUUGUCUGAAUAUUUUUUUAUCAUGCCUAAUUACACCUAUUAUGAUAGGAAUUGUUUCUGUUUUUAGAUUCCACAUUCUGGUUACCUCUAUUUCCAGGUCUUUGUAUUUUGAAAGUUUCUCCAUUUCUUUUAGAGACAUGUUGUCAUCUGCUGGUAUUAUUAUUAUUAUUAUUAUUAUUAUUAUUAUUAUUAUUAUUAUUAUUAUUAUUUUGGUUUGGUUCAGAUUUGGUCUUAUUCCUGGUAGGAUUUAUGAGGGUAGUGGGUUACUACUUUUAACUUCAGGUAUCCAUAAGCAGCAAUAGAUUGGUAAAAUUAUUAGAACAUUGGAUAUAGUGCCUUGUGGUAUUUCCUUAGGCUCUUUAUAUCCUGAGAUCAAAACCUGCAGAAUUUUACCUUUCACCUCACAGAGUUGAUGUAAUUAACUAAUCCUCUCUCUCAAAGCAGCUGCUCUUCUGAUUAGAUUAGAGCAAAUUAUUAUGGCCUUGUGAGUGGAUUUGGUAGACAGAAACUGGAAGAAGCAUAUUAUACAUGCAUAGACACAAACAUACACACACAUACAAACACAUACACACACACACAUACACACAUUUUGCAGUUUUACUUCCUCAACUGUGUAAUGCAUCGUGCUUUUGAGUAAAACACUUCAUUUCAUGUUACCCCAGUCCACUCAGCUGGCAAAAGUGAAUAAUCCUGCAACAGACUGGGAUCUCAUCCAGGGGAUAAAUAUAUAUAUACACCUCAAGUACAAAAGUACAAGUGACCAUGGCGCGUUUUGAAAUCAGGACUAAAUACUGUAAGGAUUGUGGAUGCAAAUGGCUUAGUGGUUAGGGUGUUGGACUCAUGAUCAUAAGGUUAUGGUUUCAAUUCCUGGAUCAGGUGAUGCAUUGUGUUCUUGAGCAAAACACUUCAUUUCAUGUUGCUCCAGUCCACUAAGCUGACAAAAAUGACUAAUCCUGUGAUGGGCCAUCGUCCCAUCCAGGUGGGGAACAUAUAUGGCAUAGAAUCUGGGAAACCAGCCCUUAUUUAUAAGUUGACAUGACUUGAGAAGGUUACCUUUUUUUUUACUUUAAGGAUUUGGUCCUGUUUUUAUUGAUCUGCUAGUCUGAAUAAUGGUUUAUGACAUAUGCACAGAGGCAGAAAUUUAUAACAGAAAGGAUAUAGGCAAUUCAGAUACCCCAGUAUAUUACAGGUAUUACUAUUAUUGAGCUCAUAAGGAUGAAAAACAGUUCUGCCACACACUAACUUAUUAAUAAUAAUAAUGAUAAUUCUUUAUUUGCCUGAAGGGUAUGAAAGGGGCUCAUUCUAAAUAUGAAGUGUAAAACAGUAGGGGUUUUUAACAGUUAGUGGCAGAAAAGGUUUUGAUAAAAUCUAUAAAUGUGAUGAAAUGAAAAAUAUAUAAGGCACAAAGUGCAAGCAUGGAUGAAUGGUUAAGAAGUUUACUUCAUAACCAUGUGCUUGUGGGUUCAAUCUCACUGCAUGGCACUUUGAUCAAUUGUCUUCUACUAUAGCUAUGGGUUGAUCUAUGCUUUGUGAGUGAAGUGUUGUUGAUGGAAAGUGUAUGAAAGCCUAUUGUACUCUUAUGUACAUAUAUGCACACAUGUGUGUGUGUUUUCACAAGUCUCCAGUCUUCAGGUUGAGUAGCCCAUCCUGCUCAAAAGGUCCCUGAAUAUGGGUUCUUUAAGGAUGUUGAACAAAACACCUAUGCUUCCAGAGGUGAAUUAUUCAAACCCCAAAGAAUUCCUCUCAACACAUGGUUAUGAUGGUCCCUAACUACUUCUGCUCAUGAUCAGAGAUGCCCAUAUCGUCAGCCACUAAGGGACAUGCUUAACUAGUUAAGGUCAAACAACUGGCAAGCAAAUCUGUGGUAUUGAGCAGAAUAUAUGCUGUAGCCCAUCUUUUAUACCAAGUCAACACAAUAUACAUGGUAACGCUUCCAAUCAGUUAAGAUCAAAAGCCAUGAGAGCCAUUGCCUGGUACUGCAUCAGGGUAUAUUGAGCAGAAUAUUUACUGUAGACCAUCUUUCAUACCAAGACAAAACAAUGCUCCUAGUUGAAGGCUCCCAUCACCAUAUCAAGAAGCCAAACCUUUUGUAACAGUUCUACUGGGCACUGUAUUCCGAUUUCCUUUAUAUUAUUAUUAUUAUUGAGUGAGAGAGCCGUUCAUGCCAUCAAAGUGACACUGGGGUAAAAUAUACGAAGCCCAAUAUACCCAUCAUGACUACCCGUCUGAUAAGGGCACACCAGGCACAUGCAUCACAACCAUAUGUGCGCGACAUGGUGAUCUCAUAUCAAGAUAAACAGCACAUGACCUUGCAGGUGGGGCCCAGUUAGAAAUCUCUUCAGGUUGAGUAGCCCGUCCUGCUCAAACGGUCCCUGAAUAAGGGUUGUUUAAGGAUGUUGAAAAAACCACCCAUGUUUCCAGAGGUGAAUUAUUCAAACCCCAAAGAAUUAUUAUUAUUAUUAUUAUUAUUAUUAUUAUCAUUAUUAUUAAGGCAGCAAACGACUUUAAUAAAGUAGACUUUCCGUCAUCUUUAUGUUCUGAGAUCAAAUUCUACUGAGAUUGACUUUACUGUUCAUCCUUUCGCAGUCAAUAAAUAAGUACCAGUUGUGUACUGGGGUCGAUGCAAUUGACUAGCUCCCUCCUCAUGAAAUUGCUGACAUUGUUCCAAAAUUUGAAACCAACAUAUCUCCCGAUAUAGCACAGCAAAUUAGCAGAAUCGUUAGCAAAUUGGGCAAAAUGAUUAGCGGCAUUUCGUCCAUCAUUAUAUUCUGAGUUCAAAUUCCACCGAGGUCAACUUUGCCUUGCAUCCUUUUGAAGACUGGGAUCAAUGCAAUCGAUUAGCCCCCCACCUCCCAUCUCCUUAAACUGUUGGCCUUGUGCCAAAAUUUGAAACUAAUAUAUCUCCCAAUAUAAGGCAGAAUUAGUACACCUCGUAAAAUGCUUAGCAGCAUUUCAUGUCUUUGAAAUCAAUAUUAAUGAGCAAUCAAAACUAGAAAUAUUAAUUGAUGUGCUUGGAUCAGCAGUCCAGGUAGACAGUCAAUCCACCCUGUGAAUGUCUACACAUUGGCUGACAGUGCUACCGUAAUGUUCUUGAUUGGUUGCAUGAUCUGUUUUUACAGCAUUCGUUGAUAGCCUUUCAUGUUCUGCAGAAAGUUUCAAUGCCAUCAAGUCUGUGGUCUUCUUCAUCUUCUCCUUUCUGAUGUUGGUAUCCACUUCAAUGUUGCUUUUUUUUUUUUGCAUGCUGCUGAUUUGCGUGUUGCGUGACGUGAUCAGCCGGUUACAUUCUUUGUUCUAUCACCAUAACUUUGACAACACACACACACAUACAUACACACAUAUACACAUAUACACAUACAUACGCACACAAGCACACAAUUAAAAAACUCACACACACAUGCAAACUUAUAUGAUAUAUAUAUAUAUAUAUACAUACAUAUAUAUAUAUAUAUAUAUAUAUAUAUAUAUAUAUAUAUAAUAUAUAUAUAUACAUAUAUAUAUAUAUAUAUAUAUAUAUAUAUAUAUAUACAUAUAUAUAUAUAUAUAUAUAUAUAUAUAUAUAUAUAUAUAUAUAUAUGUGUAUAUAUGUAUAUACAUAUAUAUAUGUGUGAGUGUGUAUGUGUGUGUAUUCUAAAAUUAGUUUUGGAUUCUGUGGAAGUCACCAGCUCUUUAAUGAAAAUGAAAUAAAUAAAUUUUCCCGUGAAUUUGAUAACUUGCUCUGAAACAGUCUGGCCAAACAAAUAAUAAAUGACCAGCCUCAAUACCAUGGUCAUCCCCAGAGCUUCUAACUAAAUUAAAUAUAACCACACAAUUUGCUGCUAUUCCCCAAACAUGAAACCACGCAUACAAUAAGAAAGCGCUUUUACUGACCUACUGCAAGUCAGACACAUAAUUAAUGAAUGCGAAAAUAGCCAACAUAGCAGAAACUACAAGAUUUAAUUGUGUAUACCAAACAGCAGCUUUCCUUCUAGUUUUCCUAUCGUAAGAAACACUGGAAUGUGUCGUUCUUUAUUUUUGUGUUUCUGUGUUUGUUGUGUGAUUAAAUAAGGAGAAUGGAAGGUGCUCAUGACCUUUGCUGAUCUAUUUUCCUCCCCUGAGACCCUUAAGAUUGAUGUUUGAUAUUCAUGGUGAUUGUCUUUAGCUUCAUGUCUACACAAGACUAACAUGGGCUGAGACAGGAUUUCACAGGUUUAAACUAUUUAGCAUUUAACUGGCCACAUCCACCCAAAAUAAUCUACCUAUUUUAUCUUCAAAAUGGUCAGAUCCGGCCUCUCACGUUUACCCUACUCUUUACUCUCUUUUACUCUUUUACUUGUUUCAGUCAUUUGACUGCGGCCAUGCUGGAGCACCACCUUUAGUCGAGCAAAUCGACCCUGGGACUUAUUCUUUGUAAGCCCAGUACUUAUUUUAUCAGUAUCUUUUGCGAACGCUAAGUGACAGGGACGUAAACACAUCAGCAUCGGUUGUCAACCAAUGCUAGGGAGACAAACACAGACACACAAACACAUACACACUCAUACAUAUAUAUAUAUAGAAACAUAUAUACGACAGGCUUCUUUCAGUUUCUGUCUACCAAAUCUACUCACAAGGCAUUGGUCGGCCCGGGGCUAUAGCUGAAGACACUUGCCCAAGAUGCCAUGCAGUGGGACUGAACCCGGAACCAUGUGGUUGGUUAGCAAGCUACUUACCACACAGCCACCCCUGCGCCUACAAUAUUAUUCUGAAAAUAAAUAAUCACAAGAUUGAAAUCUCAAAAUUAUAAGGCAAUGCAUGAUUAAUUCAAAUCAAUGUGAAUAAACAAGCAAUACGAUUUGACAGAGAAAUCUGAAUGCUAAAUGGUUAAUAUUGGGUUGUCCGGAAAGUUCAUGCCGGUUUUUAAAGGAAAGAAAAAGCUCAAUAAAUACUUGCCGUUAAAUUUUUAAUCAACCAUAUUUGAACCAUUUUGUUGCACAAUGCAUCUCCAUCUUACCUUUAACUUGAAAAUACCCCCUUCCCAGAACUGAGGUGGUUUCAUGGCAAAGAAUUCAUCAAGGUAUCUUUUUACGUCAUCCAAGGAAUUGAAAUUUUUCUCAUUAAGACUAUUCUGCAGAGACCCGAAUAAGUGGAAAUCCAAAGGAGCAAUAUCUGGUGAAUAUGGAGGGUGGGGUAGCACAUCCCAGCCAAGCUGCAGCAAUUUUUGUCUGGUUCUCAAAGCAUCAAGUACCAAAAAUGAACUUUCUUAUCUUCCAUUUUAAAGGGUUACAGAAUUAACACAGGUUAUAAGAACAUAAACCUUCUUCCACGAAAAGAUAGCUUAAACUGUGCUCUAAAUGGAGGUGUAGUCAAAUCCUAUUUUAUGAACUCAACCAUGUUCUAAAAGAAGUCGAAAGGUAAGCUACUAUAAAUCGGCAUGAACUUUCUGGACAAACCAAUACUUUGAGAAAUAAGUUCUGAGAUAUGAAGGGGCAUAGCUUACUGGUUAGGGUAAUCAUCUCACGAUGAUUAGGUCAUGAAUUCGAUUCCUAGUGGUGUGUUGUAUCCUUGAGCAAGACAUUUUAUUUCAUAUUGCUCCUGUCAACACAGCUGACAAAAAUGAAUUGUACCUGUAUUUCAAAGGGUCAACCUUGUCACAUUGGGUCAGGCUGAAUCUCCAUGAGGACUAUAUUAAGGGUGUGUACGUCUGUGGCAUGCUCAGCCACUUGCAUGUUAAUUUCACAAGCAGGUCGUUCCAUUGAUCAGAUCGACUGGAAUCCAUAUUGUUAUAACCAAUAAGCCUUAUGAUUGGAUUUGGUUGACAGAAACUGAAAGAAGCUUGUCGUAUAAAUACAUAUAUACAUGUGUGUGUGUGUGUUUGUGAUGUUUUUCUCACAUUACAAUUUGACGACUGGUGUUGAUGUGUAUAUGUCUCAGUAAUUCAGAGACAAAUAAAAUAAGUACAAGUCUUUAAAAAAUAAGUUCUGGAGUGGAUUUGCUUGACUAGAAUUCUUCUAGACACUGCCACAGCAUGGCUACAGUCUAGUGAAUAAAAUAAGCAAAAGAUAAAAGAUUGCAGAUAUGCAAAUCAGUGAGGUGAUAGCAACAGGCUCAAAACUUUCUGUACAUCAAAACUUUCUGUACAUCUACUUGAAGAUACAGAACCUGUUCAUUGCCAAUUGACUCACCUUACAGUAUUAUUCAUGGUUUCAUGUUCAGUCCCAUCGUGUGGCACCUUGGGCAAGUGUCACCUUGGGCAAGUGUCACCUUGGGCAAGUGCCUUCUACUAUAGCCUUGGGCUAAGCAAAGCCUUGUGAGUGGAUUUGGUAGACAGAAACUGAAAGAAACCCAUCAUAUAUAUUUAGAUAUAUACAUAUAUUAUAUAUUGUGAAAUUUGAUUUGGAAUUGCUAAAUUGAAUUUUUCCCUGUAAGUUUGGAAUUAUAUUCCCUACAACUACUAUUAUUAUUAUUAUAAUAAUUAUUAUUAUUAUUAUAAUUAUUAUUAUUAUUAUUAUUAUUAUAUGUAUAUAUGUCUGUUUGUCCCCACCUCUACCACUUGACUUGUGUUGGUGUAUUUAUGUCCCCAUAAAGUUGUGUGAUACAAGAGAAAUAGAAAAUAUUCUAGUGAUGUAAUUUUUGUCAUGGGUUAUCCUUUACUUGUUUCAGUCAUUAGACUGAGGCCAUGCUGGGGCAUUGCUUUGGAGAUUUCUUCAUCAAACAAGAUUCAGAGGAGUUGUUCUGCAAUAUUUUUUUAUAAAGCUUGGUAUUUAUUUUUUAUUUUAUCGGUCUCUUUUGCUGAACCGCUAGAAUAUAUGAGGACAUAAACACACCAGUACCAGUUGUCAAGCAGUGGCAAGGGACAAACACCAGCACUAAGACACAUACAUGUAUAGGUGCAGGUAUGGCUGUGUGGUAAGUAGCUUGCUUCCCAACCACAUGGUUUCAGAUUCAGUCCCACUGCAUGGCACCUUGGGCAAGUGUCUUCUACUACAGCCUUGGGAUGACCAAAGCCUUGUGAGUGGAUUUGGUAGACGGAAACUGAAAGAAACCCAUCAUAUAUAUAUAUAUAUAUAUAUAUAUAUAUAUAUAUAUAUAUAUAUAUAUAUAUAUAUAUAUGUAUGCGGUGACACGUAAAAGCACCAUCCGUUCGUGGCCGUUUGCCAGCUCUGUCUGGCACCUGUGCAGGUGGCACGUAAAAAGCACCCACUACACUCACGGAGUGGUUGGCGUUAGGAAGGGCAUCCAGCCGUAGAAACACUGCCAGAUCUGACUGGGCCUGAUGAAGCCUUCCAGCUUCACAGACCCCAGCUGAACCGUCCAACCCAUGCUAGCAUGGAGAACGGACGCUAAAUGAUGAUGAUGAUGAUGAUGAUAUAUAUAUAUAUAUAUAUAUAUACAUAUAUGUGUGUGUAUAUAUAUGUAUAUAUAUGUGUGUGUAUAUAUGUAUAUAUAUGUAUAUAUAUAAAUAUAUAUGUGUGUGUGUGUGUAUAUGUCUGUGUUUGUCUCCACCUCUACAACUUGAUUACUUGUAUUGGUGUGUUUAUGUCCCCGUAACUUGAUGGUUCAGCAAAAGAGAUCGAUAGAAAAAAGUACCAGGCUUAAAAAGAAAAAGUGCUGGGAUUGAUACAUUUGACUAUGAAUUCUUCAAGGCAGUGCCCCAGCAUGACCACAGACUUCAUUCAAUUUCCAUCUACCUAAUCCACUCACAAAGCUUUGGUCGACUUGUGGCUAUAGUAGAAGACACUUUCCUGAAGUUCCACAAAGUGAUAUUGAACCUAGAACCAUGUGGUUGGGAAGAAAGCUCAUGCUGUUUUCAGUGACCAUACUGCUGUUGAUUUUGACUAAAAUGCUGAUGCUAAUACCUCCUAAAACACUCCAUAAGAUAUUGUCAAUAGCGAGAGGGAAUAAAGCAAACUGAUAGGAAUCUGGCAAUUGGCCUCAACAAAUUCAUGGUAAUUGUCCGAUAGAAAUUUCAUCAAUAUCUGGCAGCUAUCCUAAUGAAUUUAUAACAAGGAUCAGUUGAUAAAAAUUAUAUCUUAUGCAAGCGUUUCAUUCAAGUUUUAAAUUAUAGAACACUUUUAAUGCUAAACACACACAAAAAAAAUUCUUGGUAAAUUGCAUGCUGGUAUCAUCAGCGUUGCUCAUCAAUUACGUGUUUGGAAGAGAAAUGAGAUCAAAGACAUGUGACUUCCUAGAGAGCAUCAGACUGUUUUAUCUCUAUGACUGUUGCAUCUUGCUCACCAUUAGCUGAUGAACACAAACUAUUUUGAUGGCAUUUUAAAAGUUCUGUAAAACAUUAAAUACCAGCAUCAUAUAACAUAAUUUCAACAUAAUGAGCCAAUAAAAGAACUUCUAAGCAGGUAUUUACUUAUAAUAACUAGCAGCCAAAUCUUCAUCAAAUCAAUUCCUUUGUUCAAAGAAAAAAGGUAUGAUGCAAACAAGGCACAGUAUGUGGUCUAGGUGCAGGUAUGGUUAAACAGGUAUGGUGCAGGUAUGGUUAACAAGUAUGCUUGUUGACUAUGUGAUUUUUGGUUCAGUCCUAUUGUGUGGUACCUUGGGUGUCUUCUACACCACCAGGUUGACCAAGGAUUUAUGUGUGGAUUUUGUUGAUGGAAACUGAAAGAAGUUAAUCUUUAUAUAUAAAAGAGAGGUUGUGUGCUGUCUGUCUCCUGCGAUUUAGAUUCCUAACUACUCCAACAUUUUGCGGUGCAGUUUAACCAAAACCGGGUAUCUUAUAGUCGUGAUUCAUAUCGAGCCCUUCAGGGUAUUAGCACCCGUCUACGAUGAGUCUACGAUUUAAAAAAAAAUUUACCAUCAAUUUUUCCCAUUUUUAAUGCAUUUUUGGCAUAUAUAAGGGAAGUAACUCUCUAAAAAUUUAUUAUUAAAUCUCAGAACGUAAAAAGCUACAGUAACACCGCCCCUUUGUGGUUAGCCAUAUUGAGAUGGCUAUUAUACUUUACAUCUCUAAAAAUGCUUAUAUAGUUAUUUCCCUUACAAACCCGAGCAACGCCGGGCGAUACUGCUAGUUAUAUAUAAAUUUGAUGACUGGUGUCUGUGCUAGCGGGGUGCAAAGAGCACAAUACAAGUGUGAUCAUUGACAGAGCAGCUGACCGGCUUCCAUGCCAGUGGCACUUAAAAAGCACCAUUCAAGUGUGAUCAUUACCAGCGUCGCCUUACUGGCACUCGAGCCCCAUGCUAGUAGGGUAUUAAGAGCACCAUCUGAACAUGAUCAUUGCCAGAGUGGCUAUCUGGCCUCUGUGCUGGUGGCACGUAAAAGACACCAUUCGAGCAUGAUCGUUACCAGCAUUGCCUUACUGGCACCCGUGCCGGUGGCAUGUGUAAAAAGACAUUCGCACGAGGUCGUUGCCAGUACUGCCUGACUGGCCCCAUGCCAGUGGCAUGUAAAAGCACCCACUACACACUCGGAGUGGUUGGCAUUAAGAAGGGCAUCCCGCUGUAGAAACUCUGCCAGAUCAAGAUUGAAGCCUGGUGAAGCCAUCUGGUUCACCAGCCCUCAGUCAAAUCGUUCAACCCAUGCUAGCAUGGAAAGUGGACGUUAAACGAUGAUGAUGAUGAUAUGAAAUUAACAUCAGGCUCACAAUCAUGAGGUGGUGAGUUCAAUUUUUGGACCGGGCUGUGCGUUGUGUUCUUGAGCAAGACACUUUAUUUCACGUUGGUCCAGUUCACUCAUUUGUAGAAAUUAGUUGCGAUGUCACAGGUGCCAAGCUGUAUCAGCCUUUGCCUUUCCUUUGGAUUAUAUCAGUGGCAUGGUGAGGAGAGGCUGGUAUGCAUGGGUGACUGCUGGUCUUGCUCUGACUUGUGCCUCGGAGGGGAACUUUCUAGGUGCAAUCCCAUGGCCAUUCAUGACCGAAGGGGGUCCUACGCUUCUACCCUUUAUAUAGUUGACUAUAUAAAUGUAUGUGGGUGUGUAUACACACCCACAUAUAUAUACCAACAUAUAUACACAUAUAUGUAUAAUAUAUAUACAUACACAAAUAUGUAUAUAUAUAUACCAACAUAUAUACACAUAUAUGCAUAAUAUAUAUAUACAUACACAUAUAUGUAUAUAUAUAUACCAACAUAUAUACACAUAUAUGUAUAAUAUAUAUACAUACACAUAUAUGUAUAUAUAUACCAACAUAUAUACACAUAUAUGUAUAAUAUAUAUACAAACACAUAUAUGUAUAUAUAUACCAACAUAUAUACACAUAUAUGUAUAAUAUAUAUACAAACACAUAUAUGUAUAUAUAUACCAACAUAUAUACACAUAUAUGUAUAAUAUAUAUACAAACACAUAUAUGUAUAUAUAUACCAACAUAUAUACACAUAUAUGUAUAAUAUAUAUACAUACACAUAUAUGUAUAUAUAUAUAUAUAUGUGUGUGAGUGUAUAUGUAUGUAUAUGUUUAUAUGUAUGUCUGCAUGUGAGUAUGUGUGUGUGUAAACACAUGUAUGUCAGUUUGUGCAUUUGUUUAUCUUGCCUAGAGUAGAAAAGAUUAUUAUUAUCAUCUUGGUAUGGUCAUGUGAUGCAUAUGGAUUAGGACAUCUGUGUAAAGAAGUGCUGAUCUCUAACUAUGGAGGGAACCUGUGGCAGAGGUAGACCCAGGAAGACAUGGGACGAGGUGGUAAAGCACCUCGUCCCAUGAUCUCUGAAUUUUAGGCCUCACAGAGGCAAGGACUGGUGACCAAGAUGUUUGGCAAUAUGCUGUGCUCGAGCCAAGUGACAUCAUAGUCAUGGCUGAUGCUGGUGUCACACACCUGGCACCCAUGCUGGUGACAUGUAAAAAGCACCUUUCAAAUGUUGGGCCCAAUGGAGGCAAUGACGAAUGACCAAGACCUUUGGCAUUUUGCUGUGCCUGAGAAGAAGACCCAUCAAGCCAAGUAAAAUCACAGUCAUGGCAGAUACUGGUGUCACGCACCUGGCACUUGUGCCAGUGACAUGUAAAAGCACCCAUUACACUCCAAUAGUGGUUGGCAUUAGGAAGAGCAUCCAGCCGUAGAAGCCAUGCCAAAUCAGACUGGAACCUUGUGUAGACUUCAAGCUUGCCAGCCCUGAUCAAACCGUCCAACCCAUGCCAGCAUGGACAAUGGACGUUAAAGGAUGACGACGACGAUGAUGAUGAUGAUGAUGAUGAUGAUGAUCCUCAUUUAACAUCUUUUCCAUGCCAACAAGCUGUAGAGUUGUAUUAGGGGCUAUAAUAUUCUACUAGAACAGCCCCUAGCCAACCAAAAUUUUGUGAAAUGUAUAUAUGUGUGUGUACAUGUGUGUGUUUAUUAGCAUCUCCUUGCCUUGAUUUCAUGUGGUUGUUGUAACCACGUGUCACAGUCAUGAAAGCGAUGUCCUUCAUUUCCAGUCAUCCCUGAAUACACGUCUACACAUGGGAAAAUAUUACCUUGCUUGGAUACAGAUAAAGGUUGGAAACAGGAAAGGGAUCCACACAUUUAAAAUUUGUCUCAAUAACUCCUUUUUGAUCCAUGCAAGCAUGGAAAAAUAGAUAUGAAAACAAUGAUAUGGUAAUGUGUGAACAAAGUGUAGGGUCCUCUGUGGCAGAAACGUUAGCACGCCGGGCGAAGUGCAUAGCCGUGUUUCGUCUGCCGUUAUGUUCUGAGUUCAAGUUCCGCCGAGGUCGACUUUGCUUUUCAUCCUUUCGGGGUCGAUUAAAUAAGUACCAGUUAUGCACUGGGGUCGAUAUAAUCGACUUAAUCCAUUUGUCUGUUCUUGUUUGUUCCCUCUGUGUUUAGCCCCUUGAGGGUAGUAAAGAAAUAGGCAUAUUUGGUAGAAAGUACCUGGGAUUGCAUCUUGUCGUUUGAAUGGUUAUCUGCUUACAUCUGAUUUGCUUGAGCAAAGUUAACCUGGAAAUAAAAAGGGUAAAAGCAUGAUAGAAACCCUAGUUCUUUGGCAAGAGGUACAACAUCAUAACAUUGGUUAGUUUAAGUAAUUUUCUUUUUUUUAUAUUACUUUAUAUCUCUUAUCAUUACCAAUUUUCCUAUGAAAAAAAAAAAGAAGCACUAAGCUGCAGACUGCAGAACCAAGACAGAAAGAUUAUCUGAUUUAACCCACCUUUCAGCCUAAAUGUAUCAUUGAACAUAGAACAGAAAUUCAUUGCAUUAAUCAGGAAGCAUUUUGUCUGCAGCCACAGGUAUCAUAAGCUCCUUUUAAGAACUUGUUAAGGUCAAUUAUCGUUGUGUUUCCUUUGAAAGAAACAUAGCAGAAAGAAAAAACAUCACAAAAUCAACUACAUUUCAGUUAUUUAUAUAUAUACAUAUAUAUGUCCACUAACUGGAUGCUGCUGUAGCAAUCUAUCUUAAGCAUGUGCUUAAUAAAUCUUGGCAUACUGAACUAAAAUCUUGUCAUGAGAUGGCAUAGGAAAAAAAUAAAAUUGGAUCAAAAAAGCAGCUGUUUUAAAUUAAGAUGGAUUAUUCUGUAACAGAUGUAAAAAUGAAAAGAUAAAAUAUGCUCCAACUGUACUGAUAUAUUAGGAUAAAAUUAGGAAUCCGAGGAAAUUGGAAUUUGAAAGAGAUUAAUAUUGACAGUACAGUAAGCUAUAUGAUCUAUAAUUGAAACUGAUACCAUUUGGAAAAUGUUCGUUAUGUAUUUCCAUAUUUCCAGUGUUAUAACUGCAAAUGAGUUUGCUUUUUCCAAUAUAUAUAUUUUGUAUUAUUGCAUGGCAUUUAUUCUCUUUAUUUUGAUUUUCUUAUGGUUUUUGCUUAAAUUUUGUAAUGGUGCAAUCUACUAGUCUACUUUUGUUAACUUACAGUGAGAUGACUGUAUUUUGAAUUAUGACAUUUGUAUUUCUCAGCAUUGGACAACAGUUGUAGUAAUAACCAAGCAAAAAUUCUAGAACUUUUGUGCUUACAGUAAUAAAAAACAAGUUAAUUCGACUUGACACAAAACUAUCCAUGGCUUAUACAGGUCACGUUGCUUUUCCCUGUGUGAUAGUUUCCCACCUCUCUCAUCAAUUCUUGUUUAAUUUAAUUGGUCAUUACCCAUUUAUUAAUUACAUGCAGUCUUCAUAGUAUACUUCAGCAUAUAUUUUUAUUAACCAAAUGUUCUGUGAUUUGUUGAUUCUCAAAAGCUCAUAUUUAUUCAACUGCUGAAUAAAUGAAUACAUUAUGUUCCUAGUUAAAUAAACAGAAUGAAAAAUUAUACCCAAUUUAGCAUGAUUCUGUGAAUUGAACAUGCAACACGCAAAUGAUGUUCAUCAUUGAUUAUUCUUUAACUACUUCACAGCUACACUAAAAGUUAAUGACACUGACAGAAACAACACAACGGGAAAAAAAGAAGAAAAAGAAAAAGUAGCCAUGAAUGGUAACACUACAAUGAGAACCAAAAAGUGGUAUCUUCAUGCUACCCAUAUCUCCACCAUCAAAGUGGUGAUAUGACAGCUGGUGACUAAAGAAUAAUCUCUAUGAGCCAAUAUCAACAUUGACAUAAUGCUGUACCUGAUGUUCUUCCCUAUAACAGAACAUACAGCCAUGGUAAAUAACUGUUUUUGACUGCUGUUUCUAGCAUUUUUCUUGUACAGUGGUAAAUUAUAUUUUGUUAGGUGUUUGUCUUACUAGCAUUUUAGCCAGAUUUCAACUGGUCAUUUCAUUGCUGACAUACUCUCACUCUCUUUUACAUGUUUCAGUCAUUUGACUGUGGCCAUGCUAGAGCAUCGCCUUUAGUCAAGCAAAUCGACCCCAGGACUUAUUCUUUGUAAGCCUAGUACUUAUUCUAUCGGUCUCUUUUGCCGAACCACUAAGUUACGGGGACGUAAACACACCAGCAUCGGUUAUCAAGCGAUAAUGGGGGGGGGGGGCAAACACAGAUACAAACAUAUACACAAACAUAUAUAUAUAUAUAUAUAUAUAUAUACGACGGGCUUCUUUCAGUUUUUGUCUACCAAAUCCACUCACAAGGCUUUGGUCGGCCCGAAGCUCUAGUAGAAGACACUUACCCAAGGCGCCACACAGUGGGACUGAACCUGGAACCAUGUGGUUCAUAAGCAAGCUACUUACCACACAGUCACUCCUAUGCCUAUACGUUUAUAUAUCAUCAUCAUCAUCAUUUUGUUGUCCACUUUUCCAUGCUAACAUGGGUUGGAUGGAAUUUGUUGUGGUGGAUUUUCUGCUACUGGAUGCCUCUCCUGUCACAGACUCAUCUGUUUCCAAGUUAGGUAAUAUUUUCCCCAUGACCAGAAUAUACACUGGAAGAUUGGAAAUGAAGGAUACCACUUGCAUGAUAGUGCUUAUGACCAUCACACAAUGUCAAGGAAAGAAUACAGUUAUACCUACACAAAAACAUGCUCACAUACAUUCAUACUUGAAUCCGUUGGUCACAAAUGACCAUGGGUGCACAGAAAGUUGCCUCACCAGCAAACUCACACCCUAGGGUUGUUUUUACGGAAGACCAGCAGUCGCCCAUGCAUAUCAGCCUCCCAUCUCCAUGCCACCGAUGUUAUCCAAAGGAAAUGCAAAGGGGCCGAUACAGCUUGGCACCAGUGACGUCGGAACUCAUUUCUACAGCUGAGUGAACUGGAGCAACGUGCCAGGGAUCGAACUCACAACCUCACAAUCAUAAGCUUGAUGCUCUAACCCCUGUGCCAUGUGCCUUCACAUACAUACAUACAUACACAUAUGUAUGUAUGUAUGUAUGUAUGUUUGUAUGUAUGUAUGUAUGUAUGUAUGUAUGUACGUAUGUUUGUAUGUAUGUAUGUAUGUAUGUAUGUAUGUAUGUAUGUAUGUAUGUAUGUAUGUAUGUAUGUAUGUAUGUAUGUAUGUAUGUAUGUAUGUAUGUAUGUAUGUAUGUAUGAAUAUAUAUAUGUACAUCUUUAUAUAUAAAAGUGAGGUUGUGUGCUGUCUGUCUCCAACGAUUUAGAUUCCUAACUACUCCCACAUUUUGCGGUGCAGUUUAACCAAAACCGGGUAUCUUAUAAUCGUGAUUCAUAUUGAGCUCUUCUGGGUAUUAGCGCGCGUCUACAAUUUAAAAAAAAAUUUACCAUCAUCUUUUCCCAUUUUUAAUGCAUUUUUUGCUAUUAUAUAAGGGAAGUAACUCUCUAAAAAUGUAUUAUUAAAUCUCAGAACGUAAAAAGCUACAGUAACACCCCCCCUUUGUGGUUAACCAUAUUGAGAUGGCUAUUAUACUUUACAUCUCUAAAAAUGCUUAUAUAGUUAUUUCCCUUACAAACCCGAGCAACGCCGAGCGAUACUGCUAGUACACAAUAAAUUUCUUUCGUUUUCCAUCUACCAAAUCCACUCCCAAAGCUUUGGUCAGCCUGGUGCUAUAGAAGAAGACAUGCCAAGUGCCAUGUAGUGGGACUGAACCUAAAACUAUAUGGUUGGGUAAUAAACGUUAUACCACACAGCCACACCUAUACCUAUAUAUAAAAAAAAAUCACUUUUUGCCACUUUCUUUCCAUCUGAAAUUCCUACACUUGCUGCACAGGCAGUGAUAACCUUUCAAUUAAACUAAAGCUAUUUAAGCACACAUCCAGUUCUUAGCAAAAGCAUUGACAUUCAUAAGAUAGCUAUUAAUGAACCCUUUGGGCUAUAUAAAUUCAUUAGAUUGCCUUUUGGGUCCUGGACUUUUGUGAUUUUCUUCCAAAGAUUUAUUCAUGAAGUGACUCACUGUUUGAAUUUUGUGCUUGCUUGUAUCAAUAAUCAUCAACAGUUGUGAGUUUCCAAUUUCUACUUCAUUAUGAAAAUUGUGUGUAUUUCUUGGCUCAGGGAAUUUCUACAGACCUUAUAUAACUUACUCUUGAACUGAAUUGUUUUGUAAUCAGAAAAAAAAAAGUUGAGAACAUUCUUUUAAUACUGGAAGAAUUAUGGUUGUUUAACAAGUUUAACCCUUUUCAGACAAAGCUGCCUGAAACCACUUCUGGCUUUUUAACACAUUUAAAAGCAACCUUAAUAAAAAAUUUUCCAUUAAAAUUUCAGAUUAAUUUAUGUUCCAAGCACCAACUUAAUCAUAACACUUUUUUUUUUUACAAAACUUUUCAUUAUUUUCAAAAUGAAUGAAAACAAAACGUAAAGGGUUAAUGAAAAAUUAUUCUCAACUCACUGAUACAAGAGGCAUUCCCUUUUCUCAACAGGUGAAUGUUUCUAAUGUAGAAAUUGCUUUACAACAAUGCAUUAAAAGAUUCCUGGCAAACUUUGUUAUUAUUUACAUUGGACGGAUAUGUGUCCUCAUCUUGUUUGUUGUUACCACAACAUUUCGGCUGAUUUACUCUCCAGCCUUCAUCAGGUGUCCUGGUAGAAUUUUGAACCCAACCCUGGGUUCUCAUUCCUAAGGUAUUAUUUUGCUGAUGUUAUUAUUAUUAUUAUUAUUAUUAUUAUUAUUAUUAUUAUUAUGCAGAAGUUUUAUUUUUAUAACGUGCUUUCACUGCACUACCAAGCGCAGCUCUGUAUGCCUUGGGUAUAUGCUAUGGUUUGCUGUGAUGCUGUUAUGGUUACAGUAUUGAAAGUGUUUUACAUAGGAUGCGUGUAGUGCCUAGUAGUGCUAUUUUCUGCCUGUUAUAUAUAUUUGUUAGUCCUGGUGUUUUCAUUAUGUCUUUGUCUGAAUAUUUUUUUUAUCAUACCUAAUGCGCCCACUAUGAUAGAAAUUGUUUCUGUUUUUAGACUCCACAUUCGAGUUACCUCUAUUUCCAGGUCUUUCUAUUUUGAAAGUUUCUCCAUUUCUUUUAGAGACACGUCAUCUGCUGGUAUUGAUACAUCAAUUAGAAAGCAUUUUUUUCUUCAUGAUCUCUGACAACUAUAUCGGGCCUGUUGGCCUUAAUUUCUCUAUCUGUGUGUAUCGGCAAAUCCCAUAGUAUGAUUGCUUUCUUUCUUGUUUUCUGUGACCUUUUCUGGCGUAUGCUUAUACCAUCUUUUUUCUGUUGGUAUUCCAUAGUCUUGGCAUAGCUUCUAGUGUAUUUAAGUCCCAACUCCGUUGUGUCUGUGAAUAUAUUCCUUCAUAUCUAAGACUGGGUAACCAGAGACAAUAUGAUUGAUUGCUUCUUGUCCAUCUCCACAUAUUCUGCAGUUACUUGUUAUGUUUCUUUUCAUUACAUGUUUUUGGUAAUUUCUGGUGGGGAGGCUUUGGUCUUGUGCUGCAAUUAAAAAUCCUUCACUCUCUUCUUUGAGUCCUGAGCUUCUCAGCCAUUGCUGGGAUUUUGCUUUGUCUAUUUCUUUUGUGUUUAGUUUAGACCAGUAUUUGCCAUGAAGGGGUUUUUCUUGCCAUCGUUUUAUCAUGGUCCAUUGCUGUUCUAGUUUGAGUUUGGAUUUCAUUUGUUUUACAGCUUUUGUUGUUUCUUCUUCUUCUUCAUAGUUGUUAAUUAGUAUGACUUCUUGUUUGUAUUUGUCAGCUUCCUUAAAAACUGAAAACAGUUUUAUUAUCAUUAUCAUUAUUAUUAUUAUUAUUAUUAUUAUUAUUGAGUGAGAGAGCAGUGCAUGCCAUCAAAGUGACACCAGGGUACAAAUAUACGAAGCCCAGUAUACCCAUCAUGACUACCCAUCUGAUAAGAGUACACCAGGCACAUGCAUCACAACCACAUGUGCGCGACAUGGUGAUCUCAUAUCAAAAUUAAAAGCCCAUGACCUGAUACUAAUAUAAUGAUAUUUUCACAAAUAAUGACAAAAUCACUUCUGUUUACAUUGAUACCGUGAACACCCAAUACUACUGUUAAAAAAUCACAACUAAAAGUGAUAGGAUAGUGCACUGCUUCAUCAUCAUCAUCAUCAUCAUCGUUUAGCGUCCGCUUUCCAUGCUAGCAUGGGUUGGACGGUUCAACUGGGGUCUGUGAAGCUGGAAGGCUGCACCAGGCCCAGUCUGAUCUGGCAGUGUUUCUAUGGCUGGAUGCCCUUCCUAACGCCAACCACUCCGUGAGUGUAGUUUUUUCCUUUUUACGUGCCACCGGCACAGGUGCCAGACGAGGCUGGCAAACGGCCACGAUCGGAUGGUGCUUUUUAUGUGCCACCGGCACGGGGGCCAGGCUAGGCUGGCAAUGGCCAUGAACGGAUGGUGCUUUUUACGUGCCACCGGCACGAGGCCAGUCGGGGUGGCGCUGGCAACGGCCACGUUCGGAUGGUUCUCUUACGUGCCACCGGCACUGGUAUCACAGCUGCAAUUUCCAUUGAUGUUGAUCGAUUUCGAUUCUCACUUGCCUCAACAGGUCUUCACAAGUAGAGUUUUGUGUCCCCAGAAGGAAAGGUAUGCAUAAGUGGACUGGCACAACCCGGGUUAUGGUCUCACUUGUCCUAAGUAAAAAUGCAUAUGUAAAAUGUUAAAUUUUUGCAUUAUGAUGGUCGGGCAUUUGUUGGACUGUUUUAAGCCUUGUGAACCUUUAUUUCAUGGUUUAUGAAAAUCUUAUAUAAUAUUUGUAUGUUAUUUUAAUCCCCCAAAUUUUCUACUUGUAAAUAUAUUUUUGUUUCAUUUGUACAAUUACAAACUCACUGCUAAAAGGCUAUAACAGCAAGGUGACAGUGUGUUUUGAACAAUUGCCUUCAUAUUUCCUAGCUUUGGGCUUAGAUCUACCAUAAAUGACUUGGUUCACAUAAUUAUAGCUCAGCCAAUUGGAUCAUUUGAUAAGCUGAAAUCUUCCGGCCAAACGGUCUAUAGUAGAUUCUAGAACUUUUGGGCCGACAGUAUAAAAAAGUCGAAUUCAUCUUUAGGCAGAGCUAUCCUAGGUUUCUAUACGAUAUAUUGCUUUUCCCACCUCUCUCAACUCUUCUCCUUGCAUAACUUAACUGGCUAUUACUAAUUAUAAGCUGUCUUCAUAUUCCAUGUCAGCAUAUAUUUGCAUUAACCGAAUGUUCUUUAAUUCAUUAAUACUCAAAUGCUGUUAUUUAUUCAACUGCUGAAAAAAUGUAUAUAUUAAGUUCUCAGUUAAAUAAACAGAAUGAAAAAAUAUACUCAAUUACGUGUGAUUUUGUGAACUGAACAUGCAGAACACAAAUGUUAUUAUUCAUUAUUGAUUAUCCAUUAACUACUCCGCAGGCACACUUAGAAUUAUUAUUUGCUUUACUCUGGUUGUUCUUUAACUUAAGGCUGGUGUUUAUUAAGUAAAUCUACGAUUAGAGGCAUUCCAGCAGUGGCCAUUCCAUCUUUUUGUAUAUUAGCGAGUAGAUUGGCCAAGUGCCAUUCUACUUAUAAGACAGUUAGGUGCGAUUUGAGAGCAUUUGUCUACUAUUUCUAGCAGCAGUCAAGUGAUCACAUAGAGGCUUUCAGUUACUCUCUCUCUCACUGGCUCAAUUUAUUCUCAUAAUUUCUACAUGGAGGAAAUGAAGGCUGAAAUAUAUUUCCUUGAGAACAGUGCUUCUCUUAAAUUUUGCAUAUAUGUGAACAACUCUUCUCUCUCUCUCUCUCUCUCUCAUUGGCUCAUGUUAUUCUUAUAACUUUUACAUAAAGAAAAUGCAAGCCGGAAGAUAUUAUUUUCUUGAGAGCAAUGCUUUUCUCUUAAAUUUUGUAUCUACAUGUGGACAACUACUACUUUCAAUGAAGUAAACACAUUACUAAAUUUACUUUAGAUGGUUGCAGUGAAAUUGUCGCCAUGAGCUGCAUGGCUUUAAUAACCAGGGGAGGAAUUUUGUUACAAAUUUUUAACUUAUUUGAAUUUUAAUAUGAAUAUGUGUAGAAAAUUUCUUUCUGCAAUUAUUAUUAAAAUUUAAAUUCUAAUUUUAACAUUUAAAUUUUAAUAAGUAUUGAUUUCCUGUUUCUUCAGUUUCAUGUUUUUGCAAUUAACUCAUUCUCCAGUUGAUACUGGGUGCUCCAGUUCAGCUUGAAUGUAAUCUCUAGAAUAGUUUGAACUCAGAACCUUUACCUCUUACAAAAAAAGGGAUCUUUUCACUUUGACUGGCAGAUUUAAAAAAUGAUUUCUUUGUAACUAAACACUUUCAAAUUUCGGACACUGGUAGAAUGUGUCACAUAAAACAUCUUUUUCUCUUGGCGUUCUUGAGAAAAUUCUGUAGUUUGUAAGCUAUUUGUUGUUAGAUUUCUUGUAUUUUGGCAAUUUGAACCAAUCAAUGACGUCUAUUGAGGUGAAAAGAUCCCAAAAAAGAACUUUAGAACUGGUGAAGCAACAAACAAAAUACCUAAUAGGAUUCAUGAGGUUAUAUCCCUUUAUAUUGUGAACUUGAAUUCAGGUCUACUCUGUCUUUCAUUCUUCAGAGGUCAAUAAAAUAAGAACCACAAGUAUAAAUUACUCAUCUGUUUCAUCUGAUCUGCAUCACCCAUGUAGUUGUAGAUUACUAUAUGCUAAGGUCUGGCAUACAAAAGCCAGCAUCGUGAAUCAGAAAGCAUGAAAUAAUAUUAUCACCAGAGUCUGUCAUCGAGCAGCACCCACAACAGUGUAUUGGUUGAGAUGAGAGCCUCCACCCCACUGAUCACCAGAUAGGGAUUAAAGAACAAGGAGAAUCAUGGUUUACAAACAGUGUAUCAUAUUCAUUCACUUGAGGUUCAGCACAAGUAGAUACUAAUUUUUCAUUUUUGUAUGUGGUUGCUAGUAAAUUAGGCAUGGUUGCAUGCUAAGAAAUUUGUUUCUCAACCACAUGACUCCAGGUUCAAUCUCAUUGUGUCACCUUGGGCAAGUGUCUUUUACUUACAGCCCUGGGCCUAUUAAAGCCUAGCGAAUGGAUAUAGUAUUUGGAAACUGAUAGAAGCCCAUCAAAUAUGUAUAUCUAUGUGUGGGUCUUUGCAGUCAUGUUUGUCCCCACCACUGUUUGACAACCGUUGUUGGUUUGUUUACACCCCCAUAACUUAGACGUUCAGUAAAGAGAGACCAACAGAAUAAGUACUAGGCUUAAAGAAAUGGUACUGGGGUUGAUUUGUUUGACUAAACCCAUCAAGAUAGUGCUUCAGCAUGGCUGCAGUCCAAUGACUAAAACAAAUGCUAGGUAAUUCACCACUUUUUAAUUUUGCAUUUCACUUAUCUCAAACAGUGAACCUGCUAUGCAUGACAGAGAAGAGAGACUAUAUUUCCUCCAGGUAUAUAUGAAACAAUAGUCUAUCUUUCUUUCUCUUUUGUUUAUAUGUUCUGUUAUCAACAACAUUUGAAAAUAAAAUAAAGCAAAAGGAAUUAAUUGAUUGAUUUUUGAGUUAUCAGAAAGGCUUAUGAUUGAGUCCAGUUUCUUCAAAAACGUUUCGAAGAGAAGUAUUUAAAAAACUUCCACUCUAUUGCAUUUCUAGGAUGAAUUCAUUCUUACUUUCAAUAUUGGUUUCAAAUUUUGGCACAGGGCCAGCAGUUUCAGGGAAGUAGGCAGGUCAAUUACAUUGACCCCGGUGUUCAAUUGGUACUUAUUUCAUUGACCCCGGAAAGAAGAAAGUCAAAGUGGACCUGAAACAGAAUUUGAACCCAAUACAUACAGACAGACAAAAUGCCACUAAGCAUACUAAUGAUUCUUACUUUUUUAUUGCCCACAAGGGGCUAAACACAGAAGGGACAAACAAGGGCAAAGGGAUUAAGUCGAUUAUAUUGAUCCCAGUGCGUAACUGGUACUUAUUUAAUCGACCCCGAAAGGAUGAAAGGCAAAGUUGACCUUGGCGGGAUUUGAACUCAGAACAUACUGGCAGAUGAAACAUCACUAAGCAUUUCGCCCGGCAUGCUUACGAUUCUGCCAGCUCACUGCCUUAAAGAACCAGAAUUAAUGUUCCUUUCUACUAAAUGGACAAGACCUGAAAUUUUGGGUGAGUAGGACUAGUCAAUUACAUCGACCCCAGUGCACUUAUUUUAUCACCCCCUAAAUGAUGAAAGGCAAAAAUCAACUUUGGCAAGAUUUGAACUCAGAACGUAAAGACAGUGAAAAUGCCACCAAGCAUUUUGUCCAGCAUGUUAAUGGUUCUGCCAGCUUGUCACUUUAUUCCUGCUUUCAAUAUUGAUCUUAGAUUUGCUACCACUGAAAUACUUUAUUCUACAUCCACUGAUUCUUCUUUUGAAAUUCCUUUAAACUGGGAGUCACUGAUAUUACAUGUAAAUUUGAUAUCCAUUUUUAUAUUAUUUUCCAAAUGUAAAAAGUUAUAGAAAAGAUUAUUCUAAUGGAGAAGAAAAUAAAAAGAGAAUUUCUCUCAAAAUUUGAAGAACACAAAUUUCAUGUUAUGAAAAUAUUGGACUAUGGUGCAGCAUGGAUUUAUCUUGUGAAAUCAUGUAUCAUCACUUACAUAAUAAUGAGAUUUAUAUCAAUAUUCUCAUUUAAAUAUGAAUAGGUAAUAACAGGCAGAUGGUAAUUUAGAAGCAUGAAAAUUUUGGGUAGGUUAGUAACAAAAGAGUUGAAAUAUGAUUGUGUGUAUGCAUGCAUGUAUGUAUAUUUUAAUGAAUAAUGCAUUUUUGCCUCUGCCUACCCUAUUGAAAAUAUAUACCAUUUCCAUUUAUAUAUUAGGAAUGUGUUGAUAAUAACAGUACUUGCAGGAUGGGAAAACUGAAAUUUAACAUAUAUAUAUAUAUAUAUACAUAGGUGCAUGCAAUCAUAUUGUGUGCAUGUUUGAAUGAUGCAUUUAUAUUGCUGAGAAAUUCCUGGCUUUAAGGGUAUCAUGGAAGGCUUGGAUGGAGGCCUAACCUUCCAAAUUCUUUUACAGGGAUUAGAAAAACCAAGGGACUGCUGCAAUAAGUGUAUGAUUCUGAAGGGGGAAUAUGUUGGAUAAAAUCAUAAUUAACUGAUCCUCUUGUAUUUUCUUUUACCUAAAGCCAGGAACUUUUCAACACCCCUGCAUAUGCAUGUAUGUAUGUAUAUAUAUAUAUAUAUCUGUAUUUACAUACACACACACACACAUGCACGUGCAGAUACUCGUACAUACGCAUGAUAGAAGAGGAUAGGCUGCAAUGAGUAAUGUAAAUAUACAAAUAGAUUUUUUUUUUCUAAGAUAUUUUUUUCUAAGCAACAUCUCUAUAAUAAUAUUUCUUCAAUUUAGUUACCUAAGGAGAUUCAAUCAUAUUUUGAAAUAAAAUUCUAGAACCUUAAUAGCAGUUGUCAUUCCUAAGCCAUUAUAUUAACCGGCGCCAGACCCUUGCGCAUCAAAGACAGCGAAUAAAAUGACAGCAGCAUAUUCCAAACUAUUUUUGUUUUAUACUUUACUUCUCAUAUUCUUUUAUAUUUUGUUUCUUGCUUAACUGUUAUAUAUAUAUAUUUUUAAUAUUUUGUUUAUUCUUCCUUGGCAGGAAUGGUUUUAUUUGAUGGCUGGUUGUGUUGUUGUGUGUUGAAUGUUAUUUCAUUGUCAAUGCUAAUAAAAUAAAACAAUGUAACCAACGCCCCUUACAUGUCCUUCAGUUAGAAUUGAACUUUUUAAGCAAGAGAAAAUGAAAUAAUUUGGGAUUCCUAUAGCAUAUUAUAUCCAUCACAGCUAAGUUAUUUAGUCAGCAUACCCAUAGGGAAAUCUGCCCCAUGAGAAAGACACAAAUCUAAGCAUGUUAGAUUGUUCAGUAUAUAAGAUGUGAUGUGUAAGAGAAAAUGUGUAUAGAUACAUAUUGUUAUUGUUCAUGGUAGAACAAGAAUAUAGAAUUAUGAAGAAAAGAUGAAAAAAGACACAAACUAUAUCUAUUAAGAUACUUUCAUUUUCAGUAACAAUAAUACACUUGUCACACUAUUAUAUUAGCGUAUAUUUUUUUGUUUCGUGUUUUUUUUUAAGUUCUUUUUUUUUUUUAUUUUGCUGCACAACACACUCUUGUAAUAAUAUUGGAUCAGUUUGUCUCCUUAGACCUUAGUAACAGGAUUUCAAACAGCUCACAUGAUGCUCUUUCUUAUGUUGCUAUAGUAUUCAGUCAUACAUACAUGCAUCAACAUGUGUGUGCGUGUAUGUAUGUAUGUGUAUAUAUAUAUAUAUAUAUAUGUGUAUAUACACAUCCUGUUUAUUUUUAUGAUGACUCAGAUACAGUUUCAGGAAUACUAGUUAGCAUAUUUACAUUAAUACAACUGCAAACAAGCAUAUGUGUACAGAAACAAACGCCGGCAUUAAAAUAAAUCUAUAUAUAGUGAUGUAGUUGUGAAAAGACAUGCCUGAAGGUAUCAUCAAAAUUAUCUGUAUUGAUUUUUACAUCUAAUUUCUCUCCUUGUUAGAAUGGGUUGACUGUAUCUAUAAAUCAAACAUUUGAGUUUCGCUCAUGUUAUCAGGUAGUCUGAGGGACAGAAACAAUCUUCUCCAAUCUGCCUUUAUUUUGCAAGUAUAAAAUAAAAUCAAAUGGAAAUUGUAGUUGUGAUACCUGUGCCGGUGGCAUGUAAAAAAACACCAUCCGAACGUGGCCGAUGCUACAUAAGAAGCACCAACCGAUCGUGGACGUUGCCAGCCUCCUCUGGCCUCUGUGCCAGUGGCACGUAAAAAGCACCCACUACAUUCAUGGAGAGGUUGGCAUUACGAAGGGCAUCCAGCUGUAGAAAAACUGCCAGAUCAGACUGGAGCCUAGCGCAGCCUCCUGGCUUCCCAGACCCCGGUUGAACUGUCCAACCCAUGCUAGCAUGGAAAACAGACGUUAAAUGAUGAUGAAGAUGAUGAUGAUAUUUCUUUUAUCUUUAGUUACAGUUUCAUAAUAUUUUCAGUUCCCCCAACAUACCUCUUCUCCUACAAUGAUGUUUCUUUUGUAACAAACUUCCAAUGGUUUUGAUAAAAGUCACUUUUACAACUCAAUUUUUCUUUGCCUAAACCCUAAAGCUACACACAAUGAAUAAUACUUGAUUUGUUUUUCUUCUUUCAUUGUAGAUUAUUUACAUUGCCAAAGCAACAAGCUGGCCUUCGUGCCGAUGGUAUGCUAAAAACACCAUUCGAGCGUGAUCAUUACCGCGUCGCCUUACUAACACUUGUGCUGGUGGCACGUGAAAAAAACAUUCGAGUGAGAUCGUUGCCAGUGCUGCUGGACUGGCUCCUGUGCAGGUGACACAUAAAAAGCACCAUUUGAGCGUGGCUGUUGCCAGUACCACCUGACUGGCCCUCGUGCUAGUGGCACGUAAAAGCACCCACUACACUCUCGGAGUGGUGGGCAUUAGGAAGGGCAUCCAGCCAGAUCAGAUUGGAGUCUGGUUCGCCAGACCUCAGUCAAAUCAUCCAACCCAUGCUAGCAUGGAAAGCAGAAUUUAAAUGAUGAUGAUGUCAAGUUUUGCACUGUUUAACCAAAAUACUUCUUACCUGUCUUUAUACAGACCGUCUUCCACUGCACUUUGUUUCCAACAGAAGCAUCAGUCCAAUAAACAUCUUUCAAUAACAUCCACUUCCUCAAAGUCGGUAACUCCAGCUUUAACAUCACGUCACAUAAGUAUAAAAACUACUUGCAUCCAGACAUUUAAACAGUCCUUUAACUUCAAUUUAAGGUUAACUUAUGCAAACCUAAAAUUUUCCCAAUCUACUUUUCUGAAGACUUGACAUCAUCUUUUGUGUACACAUUAUUUGUAAUAAUUAAGGUGAUCAGCAGGUAGAAUUGUUAGCAGGUGAAGGAAAAUGGUUAGCAACAUUUCUUCCAGCUCUUUAUCUUCUGAUUCCACCAAGGUCAAUUUUGCUGAACCCCCAGGCAAGCAACUGGGGUUUAUGUAACUGACUACCUCCUUCCACUAAAACUGCAGCUCAUGCCAAAAUUCAAAACCAUUAUUUGUAUUAAGUACUUAGCAUUAAAUUCCUUCUUACUCCUUUUUUGCAUAUGAGAGAAAAUUACUUCUCUGCUGUAAAUUUGAUGUUGUUAACUAUCAUCACCACUUUCAAAUUAUCAGAUGAAGUGCUUGGUGGAGUUGUUAUGCAACUAGACUCUUGAUCCCAAUACUGGGAUUAUGCAGUAUCCUUGAUCAAGGAAUUAUAUACAUCCUAGAGUGGUAGUCUUUCACAAUACUCUGUUCCACAUAGCUUGGUUCAGCCCCAAGUUUAUAUGGCAGCAGGGAUGAGACAAUGCCACAACAAAAAACUUUCAGGUGGAACUCGAAGUCCAAGUCAACUUCAUCUUCACAAAUUGACUCUACUUUCAGUAUAGUUUUAGUUGAUUUUUAAAUGUUCUUCUUUUUGUUGCCUUUUGAAGUCUUCGUUUGUUUCUGAUGCAGUGUUUUAGUCAAUGGUUUCUGAGGAGCUUUCGAGGAGCUUUGCUCUGCUUUCAGUCUGUUUGUUGCUCUCUUUCGUGAAAAUUUUUGCUGAAAAUUUUAUCCAAAACUUUUUCGAAAAUUAUCACCGAAAAUUUCACCCAAAAAUUUUUUGAAAGUUU
rnacentral:lncRNA from 1 species